rnacentral:lncRNA from 1 species
GUGCCUGGUAAAUAGUAUGUGCUCAUUCAACAACUAUUUGUGGCGUGAAUAAAUCAAAACAGAAGAAGGAGCAUUAGUACAGAGGCUACUGCGGUCAUCCCUGCAGGGAAUGGUGUCUUGGAGAUGGAGAACGGAGAUGGGAAGAAGUGGGGACGUUCAAGAUGUGUUUUGGAACUAGAAGUGACCGGAGUUGCUGAUGAGUUGAAGGCAAAGGGAUAGGACAAUGCUCCAAAGCAUCGGACGCAGCAAACGACGCAGCCCUAGGAGGGCUCAGAAUUCUCCAUCCUGACAAGGCCACAAAGGGACAGACUUAGAUCUUCUCCAGCCAAGGCCAGCAGCAAGAUAUCCUUCACCGUCCGUCUCUGAGAACUCUAUCUCUCAUACUGAGGACACAGGAUUCCUGAGCUUGAAGAUUUCGUGGACUGUUGAAGAAAAGAAACCAGUUACAACCACGGAACGGCGAGUGUGAUGCAGGAGAAAGAAGGCUCUGGGGUAAGAAGGACCCAAGUAAUUACCGGCAGACUUGUGCCAUAAGCAGCUUUAAAGGAAGUUCUUCAGGUAGAAGGAAGACACCAGGCAAAAACUUGGAUUUAUACUAAGAAAUGAAAAAUUCCAGAAAUGGUAAAAAUGAAGACAAAUAUAAAAUACUUUUAGGGCUUUCCAGGUACACAGUUGUAUCAUCUGCAAGGGACAGGUUUACUCUUUUUCUCCCCAAUUCUUAUGCUUCUUAUUGAUUUCUCUUCUCUAACCGUUUUGCCUAAUGCCUCCAGUACAAUGUUGAAUGGUAGAGGGUCUCCUUGGUUUAUUGCUGAUCUUAGCGGAAAUGCCUCUAGUAUUUCCCCAUUAAGUAAGAUUGUAGCUUUAGGAGCAAUAUAUAUAUAUAUGUAUCAUUAUAUUAAGAAGACACUCAUCAACUUCACUCUAUGGUGAGUUUUUGUCAAGGACUUUUCCAGCAUCUAUGGAGAUAAUCAUAUGAUUUUCUUCUUAAACCUAUUAAAAUCUGAUGUAUUAUAUUAAUGGUUUCCCUAAUCCCACGUGUUUGUGGUAUAUGGUAAUUGCUGUUGGAUUGUUUUCUAAUAUUUUAUUUAAAUAUUUUGCAUUAGUAUUCAUAAGCAAUUCAAUAAGUCUAUAGUUCUCCUUUUGUGCUGCUUUGUAAAAAAUUGAGUUUAAAUAUCAAUGUUAGACUUGCUACAUAAGAAAGAAAUUAGAAGUUUUGAAACAAUUUAUGGAGCAUUGGGGCUAUCUAGUCUUUACAGAUUUGGUAAAAUUCUCCUGUGAAACCAUCCAGGGCCUGGUGCUUUUUUUGUGGGGAAAUUCCUUGAUAAUUUUCUCUAUUUCUUCUAUGGAAAUUAUUUUGUUUAAGUUUUCUAUCUUUAAUUGAGUCAGUUUGGUAACUUGUAUUUCCCUAGGAAACUAUCGAUUUCAUCUAAGAAUGCAAAUUUAUUUUCAUUGAAGUUUGCAAAUUAGCUUCUUUUGAUUUUUAAAAUUUCU